UACGUAGGGUGCAAGCGUUGUCCGGAAUUAUUGGGCGUAAAGAGCUCGUAGGCGGUCUGUCGCGUCGGAUGUGAAAAUCCAGGGCUCAACCCUGGACCUGCAUUCGAUACGGGCAGACUAGAGUUCGGCAGGGGAGACUGGAAUUCCUGGUGUAGCGGUGAAAUGCGCAGAUAUCAGGAGGAACACCGGUGGCGAAGGCGGGUCUCUGGGCCGAUACUGACGCUGAUGCGCGAAAGCCAGGGGAGCGAACGGG
rnacentral:rRNA from 1 species